rnacentral:ncRNA from 1 species
AAUAGGCUUGGUCCUGGCCUUUCUAUUAGCUCUUAGCAGGAUUACACAUGCAAGCAUCCCCGCUCCGGUGAAGACGCCCUACAAAUCAUCAUGACCAAGAGGAGCAAGCAUCAAGCACGCACACGCAGCUCAAAACGCUUUGCCUAGCCACACCCCCACGGGAGACAGCAGUGACAAAUAUUUAGCAAUAAACGAAAGUUCAACUAAGCCAUGCUAUAUUUAGGGUUGGUCAAUUUCGUGCCAGCCACCGCGGUUACACGAUUAACCCCAGCUAAUAGGGAUCGGCGUAGAGGGUGUUUAAGAUCUAACAUAAUAAAGCUAAACUCCACCUAAACUGUAAAACCCUAGCUAAUGUAAAAUAAACUACGAAAGUGGCUUUAAAGCUUCUGAACACACAAUAGCCAAGACCCAAACUGGGAUUAGACACCCCACUAUGCUUGGCCCUAAACCUCAGUAAUUAGAUAACAAAACUACUCGCCAGAAUACUACAAGCAACAGCUUGAAACUCAAAGGACUUGACGGUGCUUUACAUCCCCCUAGAGGAGCCUGUUCCGUAAUCGAUAAACCCCGAUCCACCCUACCCUCUCUUGCUCAGCCUAUAUACCGCCAUCUUCAGCAAACCCUAAUGAGGGCCACAAAGUGAGCGCAAACGCCACCGCCGCGAAUACGUUAGGUCAAGGUGUAGCCCAUGAGACGGUAAAAAAUGGGCUACAUUUUCUAUUUCAGAAAACCCACGAAAACCCUUAUGAAACUUAAGGGUCCAAGGAGGAUUUAGCAGUAAAUUAAGAAUAGAGUGCUUAAUUGAACCAGGCCAUAAAGCGCGCACACACCGCCCGUCACUCCUCUCAAAUAUAUUUAAGGAAUAUCCUAACUAAACGCCCUAAUAUUUAUAUAGAGAGGAUAAGUCGUAACAUGGUAAGCGUACUGGAAAGUGCGCUUGGAUAAAU